rnacentral:sRNA from 1 species
CUGGUGAUUUCCUCUUGACCGUAUGUGCAUGUCCAAAAGAGUAAGAUCCGGUCACGCAGCUCCAGGUGAUAUCUUUUGCACGCCCAAAGCGCUUGAUAACUUUCAAAGUAGAUGAAAAUAUACUUAUUAUCGCAUUUUCCCAGUCGGACGUUAUUAAAAUCCCCCAGGACAAAGCGAUCGGCGCGGUUGUUCCGAAAGUCGCAUCAACCAUCCCGGAGGAGUUUUAACAGUUGCGGAGAAGCUGCUAGAAUGUUUGGCUUUCAGCCAUAGGUCAUUUUCUUUAUAUGAAACACAAUAAUGACAUGGAUCAGAUGGGAAAUAGGUCGUAUUUUAAACUAGGAAGAUAUUGACGCGAAACCCUUCCACCCGUUCGGCUAUACAGCUUCUGUUUAUUUUUGGUCGCUUUCCAACUUUGGGAUCCGCAUUCAUCAAUCUCCAAUCCCACAGGCACAAAACCCAUCCUUUCCCUCAUCGUUGAAAAAGCUUUCCUUUCAAAGCCACAAAAACAACAAUACUAAAUGAGAUCUUUGACUAUCAUCAUAAACCCCCUUCUCACCUUCCUUCUCCGUCCUCAUCCUCAGCCACUUUUUUGGCGGUUUGCUUGCCAGCCUGAAAUUUACAUAGCCCUCAAGAGCUCUCUCAAUGUGCGGAGCAAGCAAGACCCAAAUUCUCACGUCUCAUAGCAGCCAAAGGAUCAUUUGCUACAUCCAACGGUGGAGGAGUGCUGGAAGUGUUGGGAGAGUUAAUAACUCCUGAUUCUCUGAGAGACAUUAGUCCAGAGGAUCAGUAUUACGAAAGGAUCUUGACCAGGUGAAUGAUAUCUGAUCGUGGCAUGGCGAACAGUUGCAUCAAUCAGGUGCCUAGGAGCCCCUCCUUCGGAACCACGCCCAACGCCAGCUGGUGAUUUGGUGGAUGUACCCCAACCCUGUGUUAGGAGAUCGUAAAGACGAAAGACCGACCAAAGUACUGCCAAAGCUUUCACAAGGGGCCCUGCACUAAGGGUGAGGGAAAGCAUUAGGCCAGAUAUAUGUUUCGGUGUGGUGACGCUAGGGUAAUUGCUUACAUGAACAGAGCCAAUUGGUGUGGUUUGACCAAUGCCGCCGCCAGGCUUAGUCCCAGCAACGCCGAGAACAUGGCCACGUCGACCAACGCUGUCCGGAUAUGUAUCAAUAUCUCUAAAAUUAUAUAAAGCUGUUACUUGACCACUCAC